rnacentral:lncRNA from 1 species
UGGAAACAACAUGUGGCAGAAAUGCAAGGUAAGGCUGCGUACAAUACAUCCUUGCGGUGGGUCCUUCCCUGGACACGGCGCAUAAAGGUAGCUUUAGUGCACCGUGCUGCCCUUUUAAAGUUACCUUUGUAUCAAAAAAAAAUCCUGAGCUUUUUCGUCACUAUAUUUAGAAUUUCCCUCCCACAAAUUGGAUCUCCCUCCACAAAAUGGAACCCAACCUGCAUCUCUCUCUCUCUCCACAUCAAUUGACACACUUGAGCUGCUAUAUCGAUUUGAAAGUAUGCAUUUUCUCAAUAUCCAUCUCUUCUUCUUUGUAUCGAUUCAAAGCAAUGCCAGUUUCAAUUGUUUUAGUUUCGGAGACUUUCAAAUCCCUCUUACUGCUAGGAUUUUAAUUUCUUCUAAAAAAUUGUCUUACUAGAGUCAUGCAUGUAGGGAUUUUAUCGAUUCAGCCGAUUUCAAUUAUUUUAGUUUCAGAGAUUUUCUAAUCCCUCUUACUGCAGGUUUUAAUUUUCUUCCACGGGUUCACGCCUUGGAAACAACCUCUGGUAGAGGUUGGGCCCUUCCCCGGACACCGCGCAUAGCGGUAGUUUUAGUGCACCGGCUGCCCUUUUUUUUUUAAAUCGUCUUAGGCUCAUUCAUGAAGGAAUUAUUGUAAUUUUCUCCAAGUUCUUUAUUUUAAUGAUUUUUAUUUUGCCAUUACUGAUUUUUCUAUAUGGCUAAGAUUUAUAAGGUAGUGAGAUGAGAUUAGUAUGAUUUUGCAGCUUCAUUUUCUGUAACAUAUAUAAUAUGUAUUUUCUAACACUUAAG